UGGGGGAUAUUGCACAAUGGGCGAAAGCCUGAUGCAGCGACGCCGCGUGGGGGAUGAAGGCCUUCGGGUUGUAAACUUCUUUUGCUCUGAACAAGGCAUGCCUUUGGGGUGUGUUGAGUGUAGGGGUUGAUUAGCGCCGGCUAACUACGUGCCAGCAGCCGCGGUAAUACGUAGGGCGCGAGCGUUGUCCGGAAUUAUUGGGCGUAAAGGGCUUGUAGGUGGCUGGUUGCGUCUGUCGUGAAAGCUCAUGGCUUAACUGUGGGUUUGCGGUGGGUACGGGCUGGCUUGAGUGCAGUAGGGGAAGCUGGAAUUCCUGGUGUAGCGGUGGAAUGCGCAGAUAUCAGGAGGAAUACCGGUGGCGAAGGCGGGUCUCUGGGCUGUUACUGACGCUGAGGAGCGAAAGCGUGGGGAGCGAACAGG
rnacentral:rRNA from 1 species